rnacentral:rRNA from 1 species
GACGAACGCUGGCGGCGUGCCUAAUACAUGCAAGUAGAACGCUGAAACUUGGUGCUUGCACCGAGCGGAUGAGUUGCGAACGGGUGAGUAACGCGUAGGUAACCUGCCUGGUAGCGGGGGAUAACUAUUGGAAACGAUAGCUAAUACCGCAUAAGAGUAGAUGUUGCAUGACAUUUGCUUAAAAGGCGCAAUUGCACCACUACCAGAUGGACCUGCGUUGUAUUAGCUAGUUGGUGGGGUAACGGCUCACCAAGGCGACGAUACAUAGCCGACCUGAGAGGGUGAUCGGCCACACUGGGACUGUGACACGGCCCAGACUCCCACGGGAGGCAGCCGGAGGGCAACUUCGGCAAUGGACGGAAGUCUGACCGAGCAACGCCGCGUGAGUGGAGAAGGUUUUCGGAUCGUAAAGCUCGGUUGUAAGGGAAGAACGAGUGUGAGAGUGGAAAGUUCACACUGUGACGGUAUCUGACCAGAAAGGGACGGCUAACUACGUG